CCAGGGAGGCAGCCCUCAGGACUGCGGAGGAACAGGGAUCCGGGUCCACGGAACCGGGCGUUUACGGAACCCCGACGAAAGCUAACGGGGGGAAAACGGGGCGGGAGACCCGGAGCGAGCGGGCAGACGGUCAGGAGAGGGCGACUAGCCACACGGGACGACUGAGACGAAAGAGCAGAAGGCUGCAGGAGACGGAGGCGGCAGGGAGGCAGUGGUGAACUGUGUGGAAUUGCUGAUGCUGAAGGUGAAACCAGAAUAUGAGAAUGCUCUAGGCUUGUUUGCAGUGCAGUGAAAAUGGAAGAAUAAGAGAUUCUCCGUGUCAACACAUCACCUGUUCAUGCCUCGCCCAAGGCUGUGUGGUUCUCCUUUAAAAAUUUCAAUGUGGACAAAACUGUUUUCUCUUGGCAUAACUGAGAUGAGCCGGUAUUUUCAAGAACAGCUUUACUAAACAUGAGGGAAAACAGAAAAGAAAUAAUUACAGAAAACAUACACAGUAUAAAAAUAGCCAAGUUUCCAACUGCAGGUUUCUGUUUCUAAAAAUUCCAUUAGAAGUAGGAAAGCUUUACUCGGCCUCAAGCUCAUUUACGCUUAGUCAACCACAUCCCUUAAUUUUGCUGUAUCCUGUCUGGACUCCUUCUCUUCCACCUCCAACACCUCCUCUUUCCCUGACCCCUGUAAUUUUGAGCUGCUUUCUUGAUUUUUUGAACCCAAAUCUCAAAGAAAAAAUAGUCAACAGCUUACUUUUAAAAUUGUCAUUCUCCAACAAAAAUAUCCUGGACUCCCAAAAACCUCCCAAAAUGCCUGCUUACAAGAGAUUCUCAAGUUUUGAUGAUAAAGACCCACUGGGGCUCAAACAUUAGCUCUUCUCAAUACUGGUGUUAAACCAGCAUAAACUAAAGUUUAUUCUAGGAAAUGAUCCCUGGGAUAAUGAUUAUUCUUUACAAUGGCAGGUAGGGUUCUGUGGUCAAAUAAAUUUGAAGAAUGUUGGGUUAAACUAAGUUUUGCAGUUUUCUCCACUGCAUAAGUUCUCAAAUCAUUUUGUGCAGUCAACAAAUAUUUAUUGAGUACCUAUUAUGUGGCAGGCACUGCUCUAGGUACUGAGAAAACCCUGGUGAAGAGUGAACGGGACAGAUAAGGUCCCUGCCCUGCCUUCAUAGUAUUUACUUUUUAGGUGGGAUUCAUCAAAAAAAGUGAACAAACAAAUAAGAUUUCAAAUAAUAGUGUGGACUGUGAAGACCUUAAGGGGUGAUGUUAUAGGGGAAAACUAGAAGUAGGGAAACCCAGAAGACAGAGGGAACAGUGAGUCCACAGACUUGGCAGUUAAAAGCUUGGUGUGUUGGAAGAAGAGAAAAGAGGUUCUGAGGUUGGAGCUGAGAAACUGAGGGGGAAGUGCAUGUGAAGAGGUAUCUUAGAGGCCAUGGUAAGAAGUAAGAUUUGAUUUUUGGUGCAAUGGAAGGAAUUUCAAGGGUUUAAAUCUUGGCACCACCUAAUUUACAAUUUGAAAAAAAAUCUCCAUGGCUAUUAUGUAGGAAAUAGAAUUUAGAGGCCAAGAUUACAAGUGGAAACCAGUUGGGAGGCUCUUGCAGUAGUUCGUCUAAGAGAUGAUGAUGAGGUUGUCAGGGCGGAUAGGAUGUGGGUGGCUUCAGCAUGUUUGCUGGAGUUGAGACAACAGGGCUUCCUGAUGGGUUUAACCUUGAAAACAGGGACCAGAGAGAAGACAGUGAUGACUUCUAGCUUUUGGGCUUGAGCAAUCAAUUAGAUUAUUGACUGAGGUGGGAAAGACUAGGGAAGCAAAGGCUUAAAGGGGUGAGGGAAAUCAAGAGAUUAUUUUAGCUACAUUAAGUUCAAGAUACAUAUUACACAUGUAAGACAUGCUAUCAAGUAGACAGAUCUUUUGUAUCUUUAUAUCUAUCAGUCUAGAGCUUAGGAGAAAUGUUGGAGAUAUAAAUUAGGAAAUCAUUAGCAUGCAGAUGGCAUUUAAAGUCCUGGAACUGGAUGAGAUCACCUAGGGAGUGUACAGAGGGUUAAGGCCCAAAGCCAAACCCUGAAGCACUUCAAAUUUAGAAAUCUGGUACAGAAGAGGAGCCAGCAGAGAAGACUUUAACAAGUUCAUGUGCAUUAAUGACUCCAAGAGAGGCAAUACAGAAGGAAGCGUUUCCCAAACUUAUUUGACCUUGGAACCUUUUGUCACAUGGCAUCUCACAGGGCUGGGAUUCCAAGGAGAACAUUUUGGGAAAUACUGUUCAUACCCUUGAGCUGCGCUCCAUUGUGGCAUAAUAUAUUAACUUCUAAGGUGACGUAGGCAACUCUUCUCCCUCUAAGCAGAGAGGUGUUUCAGUAAAAGCCCAUCAGUUGCUAAACAAAACACUGCCCUGAUGAUCCAGGCCAAAAAAAUGUACCUGCAGGAAGCACAGAUGUGUCAAAUGCAGUAACAAGGAAACAAGGACUGUUCCACCAGUGCCUCACUGAGCGAAACCUCACAUGCUGGUAGUUCGUAGCCUUUUUACAUUAAUAAUAGUUAUUUUGGUGGAAAACUGAGAUUGAAAGUCUGAGGAGAGGCCCCAGGAGUAAAUGAUGUGUUUUUAUGGUGAAUUAUAUAACUUUUUUCAAGAUACUAGCAUUUGAGUGUUUCUACCUAUAUACACUAUAGGAGAGUAUCACUUGAUGCUCUGGAAAGAGUUAAUUUAGAUAAAAAUAUUUUUCUAUAUUUUCUAAUUCGUUAGGUGUUUUUGUUUUUGUUAUUGUUAUAAGGAACAGAAACUCACUCAGGUAUAUUCUUGAGAUCUGAGGCAGUCCUAAGGGUGAAUUUCUCUCUAGGAUGUAUUUUUUCCUCUCCUUCUUUCUCCCUUUCUCUCUCUCUCUCUCUCUCUCUCUCUCUCUCUCACACACACACACACACUCCACACACCUGGGCUCAGAGGCUGUAUGGUCUUUCUCUCGUAGUAUCUCUGAGACCGCUCACUUUUCUAGUAAUGCACUAGGAAAUCAUAAUCAAAUCCUCUACAUUUGCAUACCACAAUCUAAGUGGACCACAAUGUUAUGGACUGAGUGUUUGUGUCCCUGUAAAAUUCAUAUGUUGAAAUCCUAACCCC